CACAUGAUGGCAACCCCCCCUCACCCACACCCCUCAUUAAUAAUCACGAGCUGAACAAUUUUUCUAUUCAAUAUUUCAGACUCACUGUAAUAUACAGUACAACCUUUCCUUGGACGGGGGCGGGGGGGCAAAACAAACCAAAAGCUAGUAUUUAAAAUAUUUUCUGAAAUUAGCAAUAUUCGUUUCAACUGCCGCGCCGGGAGAUAAACAUCCAACCGGCGUGCUGCGUGUGGUGGUUGCCGACCGUUUAACAGCCCCCGGGGGCAGGUCUCCUGCCUUCGCUGCAACAUCAACGACAACAACGACAACAUCAACGACAACAACGAAAACACAACAGAGCGGAGCACGUGUGCACAGUCCGAGAUCCUUCCACAUGGACGCCUCCAUGGACGUUUUCGCCGGCGGUGAUUUCCGCAGAGCAGGCCCUCAGCUGCAGCAGCGAUUUGUGAACCACGCGGCCGGAGACGGCGGUGUGGACAUUGGGGCUGUGGCCGGCGCUGGCGCCUGGGUUGAUGCCGGCGCUGGCGCCUGGGGCGGUGCUGGGGCCGGGGCUGGCGCCAGGGCUGGCGCUGUUGUCGGUGCUGGCGCUGGUGACUCAUGGCGCAGACGUCGCUGUCGCCCUGAAUUUGGCGUCGCGCUGCGCAGAAGCAUGCGGGUCGCUACGAUGGCGCUGCGGCGCAACCUGCGUCGUUUCCAGCAUCAGCUACGGCAGCGGCAGCAGAUGGGGCGAGCAUAAGUGCAGCAUCCAUGAGCCUGUCGAAAGAAAGAAUACGAACACAAUUUCCCAGACCUGUUGAUGAUAAAUACAAAGAUACCCCGUAUAGCCUUUAACGGACUGUUGGGACGAGUGCAGUUCGCGAACACUUCAUGAAGGCUGGAAUGGCACACGAGGGGGUGGGUGACCAACUGCACGCCCAGCCACGAACACUACACAAUACAAGUAAACCCACAGUCCUCCCAACCCACACACACCCACAUGUACAAAAGUGGUCAACUGAUUUAACUAAAUAAACUUGAAAAUGGAACUUGAUAUGGACUGUCAUUCACUGUCGUUGAUAAUGAACAACAUUUACACGGGGCAAGAGUUCUGUUUUAUUUCCUUCUGACCAAAAUAAAUUACACAAAGCCACAUCGAGGUGCAUCAGCUAAGGGCCCUUGAGGGCGAAUAACUCCUAAGAGCAACUUUCCUUGAGAUUAAGUCAACAGGAUUCUAUUCUACAGUGUUCUUGCACACGAUGGCCGCAAUAUGUUCAGGAGCUAAACGCCAACGUCUGCUGGCCAUGACGAGAGGGCUUCCGCGAGGGAGUUCCGUGUCGUUCUCAUGUUCCUCUUCCAUUGAAGGAACAGCAGACCACAGUGAUUCACUUACGUCAGGGGUGGGGAACGUCCGGCCCGC